AUCAAAGCUUGCGACUGCUUAUGGAGUGGCCCGAGAGGGAAAGCCAGCACCCACAUAAGCCAACAGCUGACAGUCACCCAAGAAGCUGACACCCUGCCCAGACAGCACGGACCUUCCACUCACUCUUAGACAACCAGCCAGAUGAGUAUAUACUGCCACAGCUACCCUGAAAUGGACUUCCAUCAGUUAAACCAGCGAACGAUAACUGGCAACUAUAACAGCUGACUGUGCACUUUGAUUUCUCAAGCUUGUGGGAAAUUGUGCGGAUAGGACUGUAAAAACAUGGACUCAACGCCAGAAAAAUUCUUUG